rnacentral:lncRNA from 1 species
UUUUUUCACGUGUGAAAACAUCUAUUGGGAAAAUGGAAAAAUCAUUUGACCUCAUAUUCCUCAUAGCUGACAUGACAAAACCAAAAUGUGGUGGUGAGCCAACUUCAAUUUUGCAGAAACUGACUUGGAAAGAACUGAUUACCUGAAGGACCGUGAGGAUCAAAGUUGUCCCACUGACCAGGCUGUAAACUUUGGAACUGAUAAGUGAGAGAGAUAAGAAACGUUAAUGGACACCAGAACGGCUACUGCAGAGCUGGGCUGGACGGCCAAUCCUGCGUCCGGGUGGGAAGAAGUCAGUGGCUACGAUGAAAACCUGAACACCAUCCGCACCUACCAGGUGUGCAAUGUCUUCGAGCCCAACCAGAACAAUUGGCUGCUCACCACCUUCAUCAACCGGCGGGGGGCCCAUCGCAUCUACACAGAGAUGCGCUUCACUGUGAGAGACUGCAGCAGCCUCCCUAAUGUCCCAGGAUCCUGCAAGGAGACCUUCAACUUGUAUUACUAUGAGACUGACUCUGUCAUUGCCACCAAGAAGUCAGCCUUCUGGUCUGAGGCCCCCUACCU